rnacentral:rRNA from 1 species
GGUUAAGCGACUAAGCGUACACGGUGGAUGCCCUGGCAGUCAGAGGCGAUGAAGGACGUGCUAAUCUGCGAUAAGCGUCGGUAAGGUGAUAUGAACCGUUAUAACCGGCGAUUUCCGAAUGGGGAAACCCAGUGUGUUUCGACACACUAUCAUUAACUGAAUCCAUAGGUUAAUGAGGCGAACCGGGGGAACUGAAACAUCUAAGUACCCCGAGGAAAAGAAAUCAACCGAGAUUCCCCCAGUAGCGGCGAGCGAACGGGGAGCAGCCCAGAGCCUGAAUCAGUGUGUGUGUUAGUGGAAGCGUCUGGAAAGGCGCGCGAUACAGGGUGACAGCCCCGUACACAAAAAUGCACAUGCUGUGAGCUCGAUGAGUAGGGCGGGACACGUGGUAUCCUGUCUGAAUAUGGGGGGACCAUCCUCCAAGGCUAAAUACUCCUGACUGACCGAUAGUGAACCAGUACCGUGAGGGAAAGGCGAAAAGAACCCCGGCGAGGGGAGUGAAAAAGAACCUGAAACCGUGUACGUACAAGCAGUGGGAGCACGCUUAGGCGUGUGACUGCGUACCUUUUGUAUAAUGGGUCAGCGACUUAUAUUCUGUAGCAAGGUUAACCGAAUAGGGGAGCCGAAGGGAAACCGAGUCUUAACUGGGCGUUAAGUUGCAGGGUAUAGACCCGAAACCCGGUGAUCUAGCCAUGGGCAGGUUGAAGGUUGGGUAACACUAACUGGAGGACCGAACCGACUAAUGUUGAAAAAUUAGCGGAUGACUUGUGGCUGGGGGUGAAAGGCCAAUCAAACCGGGAGAUAGCUGGUUCUCCCCGAAAGCUAUUUAGGUAGCGCCUCGUGAAUUCAUCUCCGGGGGUAGAGCACUGUUUCGGCAAGGGGGUCAUCCCGACUUACCAACCCGAUGCAAACUGCGAAUACCGGAGAAUGUUAUCACGGGAGACACACGGCGGGUGCUAACGUCCGUCGUGAAGAGGGAAACAACCCAGACCGCCAGCUAAGGUCCCAAAGUCAUGGUUAAGUGGGAAACGAUGUGGGAAGGCCCAGACAGCCAGGAUGUUGGCUUAGAAGCAGCCAUCAUUUAAAGAAAGCGUAAUAGCUCACUGGUCGAGUCGGCCUGCGCGGAAGAUGUAACGGGGCUAAACCAUGCACCGAAGCUGCGGCAGCGACGCUUAUGCGUUGUUGGGUAGGGGAGCGUUCUGUAAGCCUGCGAAGGUGUGCUGUGAGGCAUGCUGGAGGUAUCAGAAGUGCGAAUGCUGACAUAAGUAACGAUAAAGCGGGUGAAAAGCCCGCUCGCCGGAAGACCAAGGGUUCCUGUCCAACGUUAAUCGGGGCAGGGUGAGUCGACCCCUAAGGCGAGGCCGAAAGGCGUAGUCGAUGGGAAACAGGUUAAUAUUCCUGUACUUGGUGUUACUGCGAAGGGGGGACGGAGAAGGCUAUGUUGGCCGGGCGACGGUUGUCCCGGUUUAAGCGUGUAGGCUGGUUUUCCAGGCAAAUCCGGAAAAUCAAGGCUGAGGCGUGAUGACGAGGCACUACGGUGCUGAAGCAACAAAUGCCCUGCUUCCAGGAAAAGCCUCUAAGCAUCAGGUAACAUCAAAUCGUACCCCAAACCGACACAGGUGGUCAGGUAGAGAAUACCAAGGCGCUUGAGAGAACUCGGGUGAAGGAACUAGGCAAAAUGGUGCCGUAACUUCGGGAGAAGGCACGCUGAUAUGUAGGUGAAGUCCCUCGCGGAUGGAGCUGAAAUCAGUCGAAGAUACCAGCUGGCUGCAACUGUUUAUUAAAAACACAGCACUGUGCAAACACGAAAGUGGACGUAUACGGUGUGACGCCUGCCCGGUGCCGGAAGGUUAAUUGAUGGGGU